UACGGAAGGCGAGCAGUGGGAAUAUUGCACAAUGGGCGCAAGCCUGAUGCAGCCAUGCCGCGUGUAGUGAAGAAGGUCCUUCGGGUUGUAAAGUAACUUUACAGUCGUUGUAGGAGGUGUUAACGGUUAAAUAACCUUAGCAAUUGACGUUAGCGACAGAAGAAGCACCGGCUAACGUCCGUGCCAGCAGCCGCGGUUAAUACGGGAGGGUGCGAGCGUUAAUCGGUAAUUCUGGGCUAAGGGCACGCAGGCGUUAAUAAGUGAUGUGAAUCCCCGGGCUUAACCUGGGAAUGGCAUUCAAGGACUGGUUAGCUAGAGUCUGUAGAGGGGGUGAAUUCCAUGUGUAGCGGUGAAAUGCGUAGAAGAUGUGGAGGAAUACCGGUGGCGAAGGCGGCCCCCUGGGACAAAAGCUGGACGCUCAUGUGCGAAAGCGUGGGGAGCAAACAGGGAUUAGAUACC
rnacentral:rRNA from 1 species